GAUGAACGCUGGCGGCGUGCUUAACACAUGCAAGUCGAACGGUGAACGAGGGAGCUUGCUCCCUCCGGAUCAGUGGCGAACGGGUGAGUAACACGUGAGCAAUCUGCCCUGGACUCUGGGAUAAGCGUUGGAAACGACGUCUAAUACCGGAUACGAGGCGUGGGGGCAUCCCCAACGCCUGGAAAGAACUUCGGUCCAGGAUGAGCUCGCGGCCUAUCAGGUAGUUGGUGAGGUAAUGGCUCACCAAGCCUACGACGGGUAGCCGGCCUGAGAGGGUGACCGGCCACACUGGGACUGAGACACGGCCCAGACUCCGACGGGAGGCAGCAGUGGGGAAUAUUGCACAAUGGGCGCAAGCCUGAUGCAGCAACGCCGCGUGAGGGACGACGGCCUUCGGGUUGUAAACCUCUUUUAGCAGGGAAGAAGCGAAAGUGACGGUACCUGCAGAAAAAGCACCGGCUAACUACGUGCCAGCAGCCGCGGUAAAAC
rnacentral:rRNA from 1 species